rnacentral:rRNA from 1 species
UACGGAGGGGGCUAGCGUUGUUCGGAAUUACUGGGCGUAAAGCGCACGUAGGCGGCUUUGUAAGUUAGAGGUGAAAGCCCGGAGCUCAACUCCGGAAUUGCCUUUAAGACUGCAUCGCUCGAAUCAUGGAGAGGUGAGUGGAAUUCCGAGUGUAGAGGUGAAAUUCGUAGAUAUUAGGAAGAACACCGGUGGCGAAGGCGGCCCACUGGAUCGGUACUGACGCUGAGGUGCGAAAGCGUGGGGAGCAAACAGG